UUGGGAAUCUUGCACAAUGGGGGCAACCCUGAUGCAGCGACGCCGCGUGGAGGAUGAAGGAUCUAGGUCUGUAAACUCCUUUUUCACGGAAAGACUUAGGACGGUACCGUGAGAAUAAGCUCCGGCUAACUACGUGCCAGCAGCCGCGGUAAGACGUAGGGAGCAAGCGUUGUCCGGAUUUACUGGGCGUAAAGGGCGCGUAGGCGGUCUGUUAAGUGUGAAGUGAAAUCUCCAGGGCUCAACCCGGAAACCGCUUCGCAUACUGGCAGACUGGAGGAAGGCAGAGGUAACUGGAAUUCCUGGUGUAGCGGUGAAAUGCGUUGAUAUCAGGAGGAACUCCAAUGGCGAAGGCAGGUUACUGGGCCUUAUCUGACGCUGAGGCGCGAAAGCGUGGGUAGCAAACAGG
rnacentral:rRNA from 1 species